AACGAACGCUGGCGGCAUGCCUAACACAUGCAAGUCGAACGAGACCUUCGGGUCUAGUGGCGCGCGGGUGCGUAACGCGUGGGAACCUGCCCUUAGGUUCGGAAUAACUCCCCGAAAGGGGUGCUAAUACCGGAUAAUGUCUUCGGACCAAAGAUUUAUCGCCUUUGGAUGGGCCCGCGUUGGAUUAGCUAGUUGGUAGGGUAAAAGCCUACCAAGGCGACGAUCCAUAGCUGGUCUGAGAGGAUGAUCAGCCACACUGGGACUGAGACACGGCCCAGACUCCUACGGGAGGCAGCAGUGGGGAAUAUUGGACAAUGGGCGAAAGCCUGAUCCAGCAAUGCCGCGUGAGUGAUGAAGGCCUUAGGGUUGUAAAGCUCUUUUACCCGGGAUGAUAAUGACAGUACCGGGAGAAUAAGCGCCGGCUAACUCCGUG
rnacentral:rRNA from 1 species